CGUGUGUUGAAAACCAAAAGACCCAAACCAGUUUCCCCAAAAUCAUUUUCCCGAAAAAAACCUCCCUCUCAAUCUCUCGAUCUCCUCCCUCAACGCCCCCGUCGAUGGGCUCCUCUCCGGCCAUUCAUCUCCGCGCCACCGUCGACCAGCUCCAUCUUCGAUCGUUCCAUGUCCACGUCCACCUCCAUCUCACUCUAUAAGUCACGAAUCUUCACCUUUCUCUCUUGGUAUCGCAUCACAGGAAGAAGAAAAAAAAAAGAAACUAAAAAAAAACCCUAGAAAUUUACAGUUAUCGUUUCUUUCUUGAUUUAAUGUUUAUUUCCUUUUAUUUUUUUCCCCCUUGUGUUAUCUGCUUAAUUAUUUUAUUUUAUUGCUUAAAUGUUGGUUUGUUAACUAUUUUUGUAUUUUUGCUCCUCUGUCAACAUUUGUUCUUGCUAAUAGAUAUUGUGGAUGAGAGAGACCUUGCCUGAUGAUGGAAUUGUUCUUGCUCCCCUUCCCAAUUGGACAUGCCCAUAAACAUUCAUGAAGAAAUAUGUCUCCCUUAUUUCUUUGUAGCCCACUUGUUUAAUUUGACUUUCGCUUAUUGUUGUAGAACUUCCAUUGCCACCGGUUUUUGGGACUGAUGAGACUGAGGAGUCAAAUCAGGAGCCUCAACAGAUUGGCAGAGAUGCUUGGCAUGAUCUUGCAUCAGGCACUCAAUAGUCAAUAGAGCUCUUGGGCUUCAGGAGCGCUUUGUAUUCACCUGAAACUAAGUGAUGUUUUCUGUUCAAGUUCUUGGAUCCUUCUUAUUGGGAUUAUUACCUAUUGGAUUUGAAGUGAAUCUUCGGGUAUUGACAAUAGCCUGUAUUUUGUAUGGAUUGAUUGGUAGAUUCUGUGUUGUGUAUGUGAGGGAUCAGAGGCCGAGAGUGUAGGAGGCAGGGAUAGAUUAUGAGUCUGUCUAUCAGAAGAACAGAUGAUUGUAGCUUCUUUUUUUUUUUUUUUUUUUUGAUUUAUGAACAGAAAAUCAGUCCUCUGAGAA